ensembl:misc_RNA Y_RNA Y RNA
GGCUGGUCCGAUGGUAGUGGGUUAUCAGAACUUAUUAACAUUAGUGUCACUAAAGUUGGUAUUCAACCCCCCACUGCCAAAUUUGACUGGAUUUAA